UACCAGCUCGUGAAUGCAAAUUCUCUUGCGGUAAGACUGGCUCGGAGUUACCUCUGAGAGAUGUGGACUUUGCGAUUGCCAGGAGGUGAUUGCUAUGGAGAAUGUUGAGUGCCUUUAAGAAUAGAUAGUUUAUUGCCAUUUUGAAUCCAGACUGGUCCAUCUACUCUAUUCCUUCACAGAAAACUGCAGAUGCUUCAGAGAAGACACAGCUCUGUAGUGUCUGAGAGCCCUGAGCUGAGUUAGAGGCAACGACAGUGUGACAUGAAGUAUAUGCAUGGGAUACGAACCUUUCACUUCCUGCUA